GGCGAACGCUGGCGGCAGGCUUAACACAUGCAAGUCGAGCGCCGUAGCAAUACGGAGCGGCAGACGGGUGAGUAACACGUGGGAACGUACCUUUUGGUUCGGAACAACACAGGGAAACUUGUGCUAAUACCGGAUAAGCCCUUACGGGGAAAGAUUUAUCGCCGAAGGAUCGGCCCGCGUCUGAUUAGCUAGUUGGUGAGGUAACGGCUCACCAAGGCGACGAUCAGUAGCUGGUCUGAGAGGAUGAUCAGCCACACUGGGACUGAGACACGGCCCAGACUCCUACGGGAGGCAGCAGUGGGGAAUAUUGGACAAUGGGCGCAAGCCUGAUCCAGCCAUGCCGCGUGAGUGAUGAAGGCCCUAGGGUUGUAAAGCUCUUUUGUGCGGGAAGAUAAUGACUGUACCGCAAGAAUAAGCCCCGGCUAACUUCGUGCCAGCCGCCGCAGUAA
rnacentral:rRNA from 1 species